GCGCCCAUAGCUCAAUUGGAUAGAGCAUCAGACUACGAAUCUGAAGGUUAGAGGUUCGACUCCUCUUGGGCGUGCCA
rnacentral:tRNA from 1 species